UACGAAGGGGGCUAGCGUUGUUCGGAAUCACUGGGCGUAAAGGGCGCGUAGGCGGCUUUAUAAGUCGGGGGUGAAAGCCUGUGGCUCAACCACAGAAUUGCCUUCGAUACUGUAUGGCUUGAGACCGGAAGAGGUAAGUGGAACUGCGAGUGUAGAGGUGAAAUUCGUAGAUAUUCGCAAGAACACCAGUGGCGAAGGCGGCUUACUGGUCCGGUUCUGACGCUGAGGGCGCGAAAGCGUGGGGAGCAAACAGGG
rnacentral:rRNA from 1 species